UGCUUAUUUUAGGACAGUAAGCUUGUCCUUGGGAAACCAUCAAUUUAUGUCGGCGAAGUGGUUUCCCCUACAACGCUGACCUAUAUCAAGAUCAACUCAACGAGAUCUACAAUAUUUAUUAUAGACAUAUGCAUCAACAACCGCCCUUUUAAAGUUUUUAUAAAUAGAAAGGAAGAGGGGGUUGGAGAUCUCGAAUGUGGUGAUGUUGGAGAGACCAAU
rnacentral:lncRNA from 1 species